rnacentral:rRNA from 2 species
GAUGAACGCUGGCGGCGCGCCUAACACAUGCAAGUCGAACGGUUAAAGCACCUUUUAGGUGUGUAUAAAGUGGCGAACGGCUGAGUAACACGUGGGCAACCUGCCCUCCUCUUGGGGAUAGCCUCGGGAAACCGAGGAUAAUACCCGAUACUUCAAUGUGGCCGCAUGACGACAUUGAGAAAGCUUUUGCGGAGAAGGAUGGGCCCGCGGCCUGUUAGCUUGUUGGUGGGGUAGAGGCCUACCAAGGCAAUGAUGGGUAGCUGGGUUGAGAGACCGACCAGCCAGAUUGGGACUGAGACACGGCCCAGACUCCUACGGGAGGCAGCAGUGGGGAAUCUUGCACAAUGGGCGAAAGCCUGAUGCAGCGACGCCGCGUGCGGGACGAAGGCCUUUCGGGUUGUAAACCGCUUUCCAGCAGGGACGAGGCGAAAGUGACGGUACCUGCAGAAGAAGCCCC